rnacentral:lncRNA from 1 species
UGAGCACACAUAAGGGACUCUGUGAAUAUGUGUGUAUUUGUUGUGUGCAUGCCCGCAGAAUGGGAUACAGAGACUCACUCUAUUCAUCAGGGAUUUGUUUUAAUCAGGAAUUGGCAGGCAUGGGAAGAGCACGCUGUCCAGGGUCGGCAAGGCCUGGAAAUGUCAGAGCAUCAGAAUACUGAAAAUAAAAGACAUGGUUAAAUCUAUUUUGGUGGCGAGGCUGGGGACACUGGGAAUAUGAUACUGAUCAAUCUAGAAUGUGUGGAGGAGUGGACAGCAGUUUUUAAUCAGACAAGACCUUCAACCCCGGCACAGACCAUCAAUUGGCAGGUUCUCCUGGGACAUGGACGUGGUGCAUGGGGCUGCGUUCACCUGUGGUGGGGACAUGUCAACUCGUUCUGGGGUUUCAGGGCUCCACUUGAACAGAACCAGUUCUCGUGACACUGUAGGCAGAAGAGAGCAGCACAUGUCACAUGGGGCUGGGGCUGAGGUCUUCUGAACACCCUGAAGGGGCAUCUCUGGGUUUCACCUACCUGGAUAGUUUCUCUCUGUUUUCCUAGUUCUUAGCGGGCUUCCCUUGUGGGAAACAACCUUCCUCCACUAUG